GAUGAACGCUGGCGGCGUGCCUAGUACAUGCAAGUCGAGCGAACGGACGAGAAGCUUGCUUCUCUGAUGUUAGCGGCGGACGGGUGAGUAACACGUGGAUAACCUACCUAUAAGACUGGGAUAACUUCGGGAAACCGGAGCUAAUACCGGAUAAUAUUUUGAACCGCAUGGUUCAAACGUGAAAGACGGUCUUGCUGUCACUUAUAGAUGGAUCCGCGCUGCAUUAGCUAGUUGGUAAGGUAACGGCUUACCAAGGCAACGAUGCAUAGCCGACCUGAGAGGGUGAUCGGCCACACUGGAACUGAGACACGGUCCAGACUCCUACGGGAGGCAGCAGUAGGGAAUCUUCCGCAAUGGGCGAAAGCCUGACGGAGCAACGCCGCGUGAGUGAUGAAGGUCUUCGGAUCGUAAAACUCUGUUAUUAGGGAAGAACAUAUGUGUAAGUAACUGUGCACAUCUUGACGGUACCUAAUCAGAAAGCCACGGCUAACUACGUG
rnacentral:rRNA from 1 species